AACCCUUGUCCACGCUCUGCCCUUGCAUUUUGAAACACAGAUAAGUCUAUCUCCCAUAAUAUAGUAGAGUUUAAGAAACUUAACCCCCUAAACUUUAAUAGCCAAAGCCUGAAUCCUAUAAAUAGAGAAGCUUUUCUCUAUUCUAGACCUAACCGAAGAACAAAAAGUUUCUCUUCCAGCUUUUAUGUUAAAUAGUGAAGUAGAACACUAGUGGCGACUU
rnacentral:lncRNA from 1 species